rnacentral:rRNA from 1 species
UACGUAGGGUGCGAGCGUUGUCCGGAAUUACUGGGCGUAAAGAGCUCGUAGGUGGUUUGUCGCGUUGUUCGUGAAAACUCACAGCUCAACUGUGGGCGUGCGGGCGAUACGGGCAGACUGGAGUACUGCAGGGGAGACUGGAAUUCCUGGUGUAGCGGUGGAAUGCGCAGAUAUCAGGAGGAACACCGGUGGCGAAGGCAGCUCUCUGGGACGGUACUGACGCUGAGACGCGAAAGCGUGGGGAGCGAACAGG